ACUUACCUUUUUAAAGAACAGAAUUGUAUUUUUGGUGACCUAAGAGGUUUGUGCCCAUGUUGUUUAACCAGCUGAUUUGCUUUGUUUUUCUUUUUCAGCUCUUCCCCGGAGGGGGAGUGAAAGGACUUGAGGGUACACCACAGGAGGGAAUUCCCAAGUGCACCUUUCUGGUUUCAGGGGUUUUUGCACUUGGGUGGUGGCAGUGUCUACCCAUCCAAGGUCAGAGAGAAACUGUAACCUUAGGAGUUUAAUCAUCAUAGAAUAUCAGGGUUGGAAGGAACCUUAGGAGGUCAUCUAGUCCAACCCACUGCUCAAAGCAGGACCAAUCCCCAAUUUUUGCCCUAGAUCCCUAAAUGGCCCCCUCAAGGAUUGAACUCACAACCCUCGGUUUAGCAGGCCAACGCUCAAACCUCUGAGCUAUCCCCUCAGGGGAGACUGCACUGGCCAGUAUUAAUUUUUAAAAUCCUUGUGGGCCCCAACCUUCUGCACUCGAAGUGCCAGAGUGGGGAAUCAGCUUUGACAAUUACAGACGAGAAACUCUGCCAGCAGGGGUGGCUCAUGAAAGGUGGAUCCCAGAGGGACAAGUGCUGUAAGGACUGACCAUUGGUGAGAGGAACGUAACUAGUUAACACAUAGAGGCCAUAGACUGGGUCUUAUGGUUUUCUUUUACUUGUAACCUGACAUUUCCAAACUCUUAGACUUACUGUUAUUUGACUCUAUCUCAAGCUCUGGUAAACAAAUUUCAGCUGGGUUUUAUCAUUGACAUGUUGAACUGAGGUGAAACCAGAGAACUGGGGUUUGCUGCUUCCAUGGAGACAGCUGUGCGGGAUUUCGAACCCAGGUCCACGGGUCUCCAAGCAGUGCCCAGACUGCGACCGCGGCCCAGCAGUGCACCAGAGCCAGCAGGGGAGGGAGCUAACAGAACUGCAGCCCACCAGAGGCUCCACCCAUGAAGCUCCUGGGAGCAAACAUCCAGCCCCACUGAUUUUUCUGGUCAAGCUACUGAAGCCAGAAGGAGUCACAGGAAGUUGUCCGAGCAACUGAGUGAGUCCCUGCUCUGCUGUUUCUGGGGCCUAACGCAUGAUUCCAGUUUGACUCUGGCAUUGUUCCCUGACUCCGGUUUGGCCUUGGCUGCUGCUAGUCGAUUCUGACUCUAGUUAGACCCCGGCACCGUUCCCUGGUUCCUCGCUCCAGCUCAACCCUUGGUGUGUCUGUCUGAUGCCAACUCCAGUCCUGACCCUCCAUGUGACUCCUGACUCUGGCUCAGCCUUUGCUGUACCUCCUGACCCCAAUCAGUCCUACCCGUAGAGUGAUCCUGACUCCAGCGCUAACUCUGGCUUUGGUUCCUGGCGCCGACCCUGGCUCUGACCACUAGGCCUGACCACCCAUACCCUGGUCCUACAGCUUGCUCAGGCCUCUACUCCGCCGAGUGGGCCCAGCCUCGCAUGGACCCAGUGGCGCUCCUCUAACCCCAAGGAGCAUCGGCAUCACAUGAACAGGUGACUCCUCCAGGCAGAUAACCAAGUAAUACAGGUGCAGAUUGUGCAGCUGGCUGCUGAAAAUUGGGCAUUGCGGGAGCAAGCGCCUCAGCUCCAUGCAGAGAACACUGUGAUCCGGGCUCGACCAGCCAUGCCACCACGCUAGCUGGGACACGCUCUCCCUUUGCUGAAGCGCUUCAAAGGGAGUUGUCAAAAUUUCAGGGCUUCAUGAACCAAUGGUGCCUCUUGUUCCUGCUUCGACUGCAGAUGUAUUCUUCCAAGAAUAGCAAAUAGCCCACUGACUGGGGACACAUUGGACUGAGCCUCCCACUGUGGGAAACCAGCAGUUAAGUUCUGUCUAACUUGGACACCUUCCAGUGGGCGAUUGUGACAUUCUAUACUUGGGGGAGCACCCUGUAACCCCCAUAUCCCUCAAUUACAUAUCAUUUUGAUCUUGCAUAUAAAGCAGGACAUGUGAGGUAUCAGGGGAAAGAUGAUGAUUUCCUGAAAGCAUUUCUCUAUCCAUAUAUGUCUAUCAUUAAUGCAUAUGAAGUUAUGAGAAUUGUGUUGUAUGGUUGUCACUCAAACAUGCUGUAAGUUGGAGAAUCAAUCAGAUAUUAGCUCCCCAGAGGCAACAGCAAGGAAAGUUACCAGCGCCCAGGUGAGGUGUCAAACAACCCAUCAACAGCCAUCGUCCAGCAAGGGAGCUACAAUGCAAUAAGGCUACACCAAGGGAACUGCUCAGCCUUGCCUGGAGACUCAGCAAUGCCCCAUAGACAUGCCUGGACUUGUGUUCCCCAAGCACAUGGGACUGAGGGUAUAAAACAGAACACAGGGGCCCCAUGCUUGGCCUUUCUCCUGCCCCCACCUAUGCUGCAAGCAAUAAAGACACUGAGAAGAAGACUUAAGACUCCCCCCUGUUGGAAACCAGCCAUCUAGACCUGUCUAACUGGGACACCUUCCAGAGGACGAUAUCAACCAUUUUUUAUGACCAUAACUGUGCCCCCUUUGCUGAGGCUCCCCUGAGGAAACUUGGACAGGGGUCAGGCAUAGCCGCCUCCUAUGCAGCACCCUUCCAACCACGUAUGUCGGACCCAGAAUGGAACUUCCAAUGGGACUUGUGGGACAAGAUCAAGGACGAGCUGUCCCGAGUCGAGACCCCCACAGGUCGGGAUGACUUCAUUGCUCUGCUCAUCCAGACCGACCUUCAGCCACAUGUGCAACCCUGAUGUGAUGUCACAACACUGCCCCCUGCUCUUAGAUUCCGCUCUGCCAGGCGAGCUGAUGCAGACCAACCUGGCUUGCUGGUGACUCCUCCCUGAGGAAGGAGCACACCAGCAAUGCCUUACCCUGUGGGGAACCGGGUCACAUGAUCUCUUGUUGCCCCUCAAAGAACCCAGCAUGAAGGGAUCUGGGAAAUGAGCCAGCCCAAGCCCAGUGAAGGGCAUUCCCAACCAUCCCCUCACAGACACAGCUGCAGCAGAUAAUUUUAUCAACAUGGAGGCAUCCCAAGAUCUGCAGAUUUCCCUGCAACCCAAACCCAAACCCUCAUAGAAACAACGGAUAGGUCCCUGCUGUCCUCUGGGCUGGUGGCCAUGGAAACGGUUCCUGAGGAGCUCACUAUCCAAGGGCAGCGAGAGACACUACAGUUCAUUGCCAUCCGUUCCCAAGAUCCGGGGGAAAUAUGGGGUAUCUCUUGCCCAGCCCUCCAUGCCCUCUUAUCCGCUGGCAUGAACUAACGGUCAGCUUUUCCUCAGAGAUUUGUCAGCAGCACAGCUUGGCCCCAGGAAAUGCAGAGCAUGCAGUAGUUCCCAACCAGUUACAAGCCAGAGUACCAGAGCCAACCACUGGCCCUGAUUCUCUACUCCCUUCCAAAUAUAAUGUCAAGGUUCCUUCCCCACUCUGAACUCUAGGGUACAGAUGUGGGGACCUGCAUGAAAACCUCCUAAGCUUACUUUUACCAGCUUAGGUUAAAACUUCCCCAAGGUUUAUUUUACUAUUUUACCUGUUGUCCUUGAACUUCCGCUGCCACCACCAAACGUCUAACCGGGUUUAUUAUUGGAAAAGAGCAUUUGGAAAUGUCUUUCCCCCCAAAAUCCUCCCCAAAACCUUGCACCCCACUUCCUGGGGAAGGUUUGAUAAAAAUCCUCACCAAUUUGCGUAGGUGACCACAGACCCAAACCCUUGGAUCUUAAGAACAAUGAAAAAACAUUCAGUUUCUUAAAAGAAGAAUUUUAAUAGAAGUAAAAAGAAUCACCUCUGUAAAAUCAGGAUGGUAAAUACCUUUCAGGGUAAUUAGAUUCAAAACAUAGAGAAUCCCUCUCAGCAAAACCUUAAGUUACAAAAAGAUACAAACACAGGAAUAUCCAUUCUAUUCAGCACAGCUUAUUUUCUCAGCCAUUUAAACAAACAGAAUUUAACGCAUAUCUAGCUAGAUUACUUACUAAGUUCUAAGACUCCAUUCCUGUUCUGUCCCCGGCAAAAGCAUCACACAGACAGAGAGAGAGGCUUUGUUUUCCCUCCCCCCAGCUUUUGAAAGUAUCUUGUCUCCUCAUUGGUCAUUUUGGUCAGGUGCCAGUGAGGUUAUCCUAGCUUCUUAACCCUUUACAGGUGAAAGGAUUUUUCCUCUGGCCAGGAGGGAUUUUAAAGGUGUUUACCCUUCCCUUUAUAUUUAUGACAUAUAACAACUACACUGAGGUCUUUGAAAAGGAAAUUGCAGAUGCCUUGCUUCUGUGACACUCUGUACCUCAAAGUAGCACCCCGGAACCCCCAUUUUCACCAUAGUUAUAUGAUUAUGAUAUGUUUUAUACAAAGUAUGCCUUGUGAAGUAUCAUUUUAAAAGUAUUGAUCUGUAGAGCCUUAAUAUCCUGUUGGAUUGCAGGUGCUAUAAUUGUCUGUGAAGUUAUGGAUCACUUGUUCAUUCCCUCUGGGGCACCUGGCAUUGGCCACUGUUGGAAGACAGAAUACUGCGCUAGAUGGACCUUUGGUCGACCCAGUAUGGCCAUUCUUAUGAAGUAUUGCUCUGUGUGCUACUGAAAUAUGCUGUGAGGUUGGGAAAUGCCCACAGCUGGCCUUUCAGCAGGGACAAAGGAGCAACUCUCAUUGGCCAGACAGGCGUUGAUGGCCCAUCCACUAUCCCAGAGACUUCUCAGAGAGGGCACAUGUGCAAUGAGGACUUCCUAACCUCACGUCACAGCAAGGAUCUUUCUAGCAGCUGGAAGAAAGUAUAAAGGAGGGACAGUGACAUCAUCACUUGGCCUCUCUCUUCCCCCAUCUCAACACCUGGAAAAGCAUCUGGAAGACAAAGACUUUGAACUGGGGAGAUUGGUCCCAGUCUGGGAAGGGAAUCCAGCCUGUGUACUGGGAACUGUGAGCUGCCUGUAACAUUUGUUAAGGUGUGUACCUGCUGGACAAUCAGGGGAGCUACUUCAUUCCUAUGGAUCCCAAAUCAGAAUUCAACAUAUAUAUAUAUUUUAUACUAACACACUUAAAAUAUUGUUUAAUGAAAAACACCUGUGUACUAAUUAAGUGACAUGUGUUAACCUGAAACCAUUGGCGGAGACAUUAUGUAACCUUUUGACCAUUGGCUACUGUGCUUAUCUUGUCUUGCUGCUAGACCUAUCCAGGGGUUUGGAACUGCCUACCCCAUCAUUUCCCUCCGCCCAUGGAAAAUCCACAUAAUCCAUUGUAAUCAAUUGAUUGGCAGUGUCUCUGUGCCUAAUAAGCGAGGUGACACUCCGUCAGCGCUGUACGUAAUAAACCCAUGUGCUUGAUUCUA